ACGCCUUUUUGGCCCGGCCCAAGCACGGCACGGCCCGACUUGGGUCGGGCCCGUGCCGGCCCGGCCCGACCGUCGGGCCGUGCCUGGGCCUCCUCACCAGCACGCUGGGCUGGCCCGGCACGGUCGGGCUGGCCUGGCACGAUGGGCUGGCAGGCCAGACCCGAUACACAAAGUAUAGGGACUAAAAAUAGACAUAUAAAUGUCAAUGUCUAAAGAAUAGGGACCUUAAAUAGACUUAUUUUAGCUAUUUAUAUACCACAUCACAAAGAAGAGGGAGGUAAAAUAGACUUUUUUUAGCUAUACAAUGUCAUAGCCCAAUAGGAGGGAGAAAAUUUAGACUUAUUCUGAGGAAAAGCACGAUGGCCCAUCGUGCCUUCGGGCCGGCCCGGCACGGCCCGAGGCGUGUUGGGCCGUGCCUGGGCUGUGAGUGCGGCACGUGGGCUGGCACGGCACGGCCCGGUGCGUCGGUCGGGCCGUGCCGGCCCGACAAGCCUCGGCCCAGGCACGGCCGGGCCUGGGCCGUGCCGUGCCGGGCGGCCCACAUGGCCAUCUAUAGCUGGAAUUCAGAUAGAAGAGAUCAAUAGAUUAGCAAACAAUUGCAAGAUGUGUUUUCACCCUGGAGGAGAAAACAUAAAACAUACUUUUUUUAAAAACAUUACUGCAUAAUUUCACAUGAGAAUGCUUGGAAGCCAUGCCCUCUUAUGCACCAAUGCCUGAACAUUAGAAGCAUUGAUGUCCUGCGGAUGAGAAAAGGUUCAAUGCUUGAAACCUCAAGUAUGCUAAAUCAGGAAAGUACUGGCCACAGUGUCAAGAAAAUCUCAAUCUACCGCCACUGCACCAUGCCUGGCCAUUAGCCUGAAGGUCGGUGUAUUUGGAGUGCGAGUAUUGCAAGGCCACAGAGCUCCAGUAGUCAUUGAUUUGGCCAAGUCAAUAUUGAUAUUCCCAGGAGCCGAUCAUGUUGAUGCGCUGCUAAAGAAGACAGAUAGGGCAUCUGAGCAUCUCUACAUCUGCACAGGUAGAGGGACGAUAAAAGAAAUCCAACAAUCUGCAAAGUUUGCAACUGCAAAUGAUCAAACUGGCUAGGUAUGCUGAUCUUAGCCUAAUGUGGUGGGAUUUUUUUUAUUUUUUAAUUUUAUUAAUAGACCAUUCCAAAAAUAUUGCGUUGUUUAGCCACGCCAACCAUGGUGGCGUGGCCAAAAGGUUCAGAUUUGGAAAUACUUUUUGGAAUGGUCUAUUCAUAAAAUUUAAAAAUAAAAGUCUAAAAAAUAAUUAAAAAAAUCAUGUGCUAGUGAGUUGUUAGUUUCCAAUAAUAGGGUAUAGAUGGCAAACCCAAUUCCUCAAACAAAGCAAAAAGAAAAAGAAAAGAUGUCCAUCAUUAUAUUAUGGAGGUUGCAUAUUGGCAUAUGUAUCUUGCUUUUUGCUAGUAGAGACUGUUGGUUUUAAUGACUGAGUUUUUUUUUUUGGUGUGUGUGUUGGGGGGGGGGGGGGGUGAUCAAUAACUGCUUUUUCCUGUGAUUUUGUGGUGUACUGAAGUCGUCUCUUUUCUUGGUAUGGUUUUCUUUGUAUAAGGAGCUGAGUGUUGGUUUUUGUUAAGCAUAUCAUUGGUUUUGAUUAAAAGAAACAUGUGAUUGGUUGCAAACGGCCGAUGGGAACACAAAUGCUGCCAUGGACAUCUGCAUGUUCAUUCUUAUGUUUUGCAGGUUAUUUGGUUGCUGGGUAGCAAAUGGGUAACUGGUCACUGCUGGCACGAAGCAUUGUGCUGCCAAUAUUAAGGAAAUAACGAGUGCACCUGCUGUUAAUUUUUCGUUCAUAGAUUUUGGUGUCAAAGUUAGGCUUAUAAUUCCUCCGUUUCACAAUGUAAGACUUUCUAGCAUUGUCUAUAUUCAUAUAGAUGUUAAUUAAUCUAGACAUAUAUAUGUGUCUAGAUUCAUUAACUUCUAAAUUAAUAUGAGUAACGCUAAAAAGUUUUACAAUCUGAAACGGAGGGAGUAUAAUAUAAUUGUGUGCUCCAGUUGUUCUGCUUGGUAGUUUCUUUCUGGAGUUUGCGAGAUAGCUCAUAUUCUGUAGUUUACGAAAACCACGCUUCUCUUUGAUUUCUGACUUAAGAAAUAUUGGGGGCAGUCUUAGAAUGUACUUAUCAAUCAGCAAUUUCCCUUCAAGCAUGAGAGUUUCAGUAUCAUAAUAUGAUAAUAUGGCAUUCAUGCGUCAUGCGUGGUGGCCCUUAUAUUUUUAAUUUUGCUUCUUUUUUUUCCCACGCAGAAUUGGCCUGAAGGCCUGAACAUAACGUGCUACCUGUGGUUGACUGCUUGUACAGGGCUACUGUUGAACAACAUGGUUGGUCUGCAGGUUGAACUUUACAUGUUGCAGAGCGGAGUUCUGUACAACCAAGCAAGAUGCAUGGGUCGUGGAUGCAUCAUUGCAUUCAUUGACACGGGAACUAAAAUCAACUUCCUGUUGGUGUUAUUGCUCACCGUUCAACAGUGUAAAGGUGGACAAACCGUUCUCAUCGUCAACAGACAACAGGGUUACAAGACUUUUUAGCAUUGCCUACAUUCAUAUAGAUGUUAAUGAAUCCAGACAUGUGUAGAUUCAUUAAUAUAUAUAUAAAUAUGGAUAAUACUAGAAAGUCUUAUAAUAUGAAACGGGAAGUAUUUAACAGAAGGAACAUAUCGUGCAUAAGAACACAUUCAGCCCUGUCAUUAUACUUCGACGGCGUUAUACACCAUUUUGCCCCAAAACAAAGGUGAUGAAGAAAAUGGCCCACAGUUUAGUCCACUUGCCUUUUCGCCAAUGCUCCAAAAUCUCCAAUGUGGCAACAGUGAAGGCUAUGAGGCAUACUGGACAUCAGUUAGGUUACCUGAUGAUUGUCCACCGUAACAUGAACAUACCGAGUCAGCAGUUUGCCCUGACAUGAACGUGCCGCAUAAUCCGACCAUCAGCGGCCCCGGCGAUUGGCAGGUCAAAGGAGCUUUGACGCGUAGCCUGCAGCGGUCAAUACUAUGCGACUGUGCGAUAACAAGAUCUGCAUGCUAGGACUAGGUAUCUGGUAGGGGCAAGCAACAGCAACCGCCAUAUGUAGUGUAAUCUUAAGGUGGGCUCUAUGAAUUGUGAAUCAUUGUUAGGGUAUCACCAAUGUAUAUUGCAAAGUGAUCCAUAUAGAUGUGACCCACGUAAAUAGUUUUUACCUAUAACAAUCUCCACAAUGUAUAUGUAUACAAGGUAUCAUUAGGAGAAGAGAGAGGAGUAGAGAUAGAUAAUAUAAUUUAUUCCAUAUGGGUAGUCCAUAUGCAUAUGGAUACCUUUUGUUAUUUUUUCUAUAUGGACUAGUUGCACAAUGGUAAUAGAUGGCUGAAUGGAAUAUUCUAUUGCU